rnacentral:lncRNA from 10 species
AGUUGACCUUGGAGGGUGCGGCAUGGGGUGGAGGCCCGUGCACCAGAGGCUCCUCAUAGAGUCUCUACAGAGAGAUGACCAGGCUAGCGUUUUCAUGGCAUGAAGGUUGUCUUCAGAAACUCGCUUCACAAUCUACUUAAGAUGAGUCAAAUCUACCCGGCCUGACAAUCAUGGUUGAAGAUGAAGGAAGAGCAAAGUCAUGUUUUACAUGGCAGCAGGCAAGAGAGCUUGUGCAGGGGAACUCUCAUUUAUAAAACCAUCAGAUCUCAUGAGAUUUAUUCACUACCACAAGAACAGUGUGGGGGAACCACCCCCAUGAUACAGUUAUCGCUACCUGGCCCCACCCUUGACGUGAGGAUUAUUGCAGUUGAGGGCAAGAUUUGGCGUGGGACAUAGCCAAACUAUGUCAUAUCCAAAG